UCAGCUUUUUUUUUUUUUUUUUUUUUUGCUGGGUAGAUGAAUGAAAUGAUUUCCAAGUUUCUUACCUCCUCGACCAGAAACUGGAAGUUCACUUUUUACUCUCGAUUUGCUUUGAAAUUAUAUGCGCCAGGGCCUCUGCUCCCAUGUUAUCACAGAACUGCUUGCUGCAGUGGUCCAAGGCCUCAGCCUUGCCUUCCUCCUCCCAGCACAGUUUUGCUCAAAGGAAUGGCUGACUGAAGCCUCUAUGAUAUUUCUUUUGUUCAUACAUGCAUACUCUCUGACUUUUGCCUGUACAUGUAGGGAAGAGAAUGGCUGAGACUCAAAAGAUAAAAAUUAGAUGAAUAAAAAUGAAGACAUCAGAUGACAGGUUUGCAAUUUCAUUGUAUGGAUGCAUCUUUCGGUGUUUUAUAGAUCUCAAGUGUAUAUUGUAUGCCUCAUCUCUACACGUUUGCCAUUCUCUUCAAGACAGUUUCAAAACUUUCCUAUAAGAAGGUGAAAAUAUCAGAGAAAAACAGAGAAGCUGAAAAUUGGGUUUAGAAUAAUAAUUAAAAAUGAAAUCUCUGUGUCAAUAUUGGAUAAAGAGUGUUUUAGAGGAUGAUACUUUGAAUAACAGGAUAUGUAAAUUAAAAUUUGGGAAUUUCAUGUGGAAAGGUGGAUGAACUAAAUAAGUGAAAUAAGUCUGUCUUUAUAGAAAUCCCUAAGGAUAUCACAUCCCAAGAGUUAAAAUCUGAAAGAUUCACAGAAAAAUCUUAUACUUCAUUUCAAAAAUAAUGGGCAUUAUCAUUUGUUUUCCUUUCUUAGGCUUUCUAAGUAAUACUUGCCUUUGAGCAAAGAUUUUCUUUAAUCAAAAAGUACAAUAAGGUUUAAAAAAUUACUUUGCGUUUUGCUAGUUCUAAUCAGGCAGAUUUUAAUUUUCCUUGUCUCAACCUUAAUCCCUUUCUUUCUUCCACUCUGCUUCUUUUCUUUCUUCUUAACUUUUCUCUCCUCUCUUCCCUCCAACAGGUCACAGCUUGCCAGCUAUUAUCACCUUCUGGAACAAUCCCUGAUGACUUAGCUGAAAGAGAGAGAAGAUGAAUGGCUUCCAAAGAUUGUGACCUCACAAUAGGCAGAGGUUGGUGAGGAGCUAAGGACAACAAAUUUCAGAGCCACGCCUGUGCCCCUACCCCCCAGAGACCUCACCAUGAAGAGGCAAAGAAGUAGGAUUUCCUUAGGAGGAUCUUGUAUGUUUGUUUCAGUUACACUGUGGAAGUCCUUGACAGAUGAGGAGAAUAUUGAAGCUGCCUAAGAAGGUCACAGCUGGAAGGCUUGAGCUGCUUUGCUGAGGCGUAGUGGGCCCUGCUGAACAAGGUAUCUUAUUGUAUGUAAUAUUUUCAGACGGCAGUUAACUAUGGAUAACUGAAACCAAGAAAAGUGAAACCACAGGGGGAUGACCACACAUGAGAGAAAGCAGCUGGAUGAAUUUAAGUGGAAGCCGACUUGAACUUCCGCUACCAGCCAGUGGCCCCAGCUCACAUUGUGUCUGGAACUGGUGAGUUCUUGGUCUCGCUGACUUCAAGAAUGAAGCUGCAGACCCUCACG